rnacentral:rRNA from 1 species
AAUAUUGGACAAUGGGCGCAAGCCUGAUCCAGCCAUGCCGCGUGUGUGAUGAAGGCCUUAGGGGUGUAAAGCACUUUCACCGAUGCAGAUAAUGACGGUAGUAGGAGAAGAAGCACCGGCUAACUUCGUGACAGCAGCCGCGGUAAUACGAAGGGGGCUAGCGUUGUUCGGAAUUACUGGGCGUAAAGCGCAAGUAGGCGGAUUGGUAAGUUAGGGAUGAACACCCAGAGCUCAACCCUGGAACUGCCUUUAAUACUGCCAGUCUUGAGUUCUAGAGAGGUGAGUGGAAUUCCGAAUGUAGAGGUGAAAUUCGUAGAUAUUCAGAGGAACGCCAGUGGCGAAGGCGGCUCACUGGCUCAAUACUGACGCUGAGGUGCUAAAGCGUGGGGAGCAAACA